CAUUACAAGGAGCCGAAAGGCUACUUCAAACCAUUGCGAACUCAUCCAAGUUGCUUCGGCGGCGCGGCGUCCCCUCGCGGGGAUGCCGCAGCCCCGCCCCCUCGGGGGCGGUGUGCGCCCGCCGGAGGUAUCAAACCCUUCUGUAUUAUAGCGGUAUCUCUGAGUAAAAACAAACAAGUUAAAACUUUCAACAACGGAUCUCUUGGCUCUGGCAUCGAUGAAGAACGCAGCGAAAUGCGAUAAGUAAUGUGAAUUGCAGAAUUCAGUGAAUCAUCGAAUCUUUGAACGCACAUUGCGCCCGCUAGUAUUCUAGCGGGCAUGCCUGUUCGAGCGUCAUUUCAACCCUCAAGCCCUGCUUGGUGUUGGGGCCCUACGGCUGCCGUAGGCCCUGAAAAGAAGUGGCGGGCUCGCUGCAACUCCGAGCGUAGUAAUUUAUUAUCUCGCUAGGGAGGCGCGGCGGUGCUCCUGCCGUUAAAGCCCCAUCUUUAACCAAGGUUGACCUCGGAUCAGGUAGGAAUACCCGCUGAACUUAAGCAUAUCAAUAAGCGGAGGAAAAGAAACCAACAGGGAUUGCCCCAGUAACGGCGAGUGAAGCGGCAACAGCUCAAAUUUGAAAUCUGGCUUCGGCCCGAGUUGUAAUUUGUAGAGGAUGCUUUUGGUGAGGUGGCCUUCUGAGUUCCCUGGAACGGGACGCCAGAGAGGGUGAGAGCCCCGUAUAGUCGG
rnacentral:rRNA from 1 species